GCGUCAGUAGUGCAACGGUUAGCAUACGCUUCCGGAAAGGAGUGAGAUCUGGGUUCGAAUCUCGGAUGACGCA